ensembl:lncRNA
AUUUUACUCUUUCCAUUAUCCUGAGCCUGUUUUCCUGAAACCUAAUGACUAACAACCUAUCCUAUAUCACUUACCACUCAAAAAUAAUCAUAAAAUACCAGUAUGCUCUUCAUUUAAACAAAUUAUAAUUUUAAAAUAAUUAUUAAAAAUAUGGUGUAUAUCUAGAAAGAACUAGUGUCAAAGUUUGUGGUCUUAAUUUGUCAAACAAUAACCACUAGAUCCCCAGCCUACCCUUUACCUAUUAAAACACACACACACACACACACACACACACACACANCACAGAUACUCAGAUGAUGUCUUCAGCCCAGAGGCAUCCACCUGCCCUCAUUCUGGAUGCACUGAUUGGUUCUCACAGAGCAGGUAUACUUGCACCGUACCACAAAAGAUUUCAGAUUCUCUCCAUAUUAGCAAGUGUAUGUCUCAUAACUUACCUGUAACUUAUUAGCACCUUACACAUCAAAUCAGAGAUGCAUCUUCCAGGGACACUGUGCAUCUUUGUAACGCUAUUUUCAGUGACACAGGUAAAAGAAGCUUCUGCAAGCUGUAACAUAACAUCAGUAUCAUCACCAACUGCAUCAUCUCUCCUUGUAAAAUGGAACUAUUUUACAGGAGCGACAAACUAUAUUCUGGAUGUCAGGGCUGUGAAUGCCAACAACACAGCACCUAUCACUAUUACACUCCCUGUGUCCACUGUGGAGCGACUGGUCCAAGGCUUAAGACCGGGACAAAUUUAUCUAGUGACUUUUAAAGUGUUUGUGCUCGAUUAUGUAGCAUGCAUCGACUCCCAGACAGCACAGACAAGUAAGUAAUUGACCCACACAGAUCUUAUUCAAUUUCUGAACUUGUUACAUUUUUAAUUAAAUUAAUUUCAUUUGUGCGUGCAGUUCCUGCCACCUCACAAAUAACAUAUUCAAAGGCAAUAUCAAGCACCUCGAUCAGGUUUGAGUGGGCCAGUGCGCAAGGAGCUGACAAAUACAUUUUGGUGGUGAAUGGAACUUUCCAUCCUGAGACUCAUAACCUCACAUUCACCUCGCUAAGUGGACAGAUAGACAACCUCCAGCAAGCCACCUCGUACAGCUGUUACAUUUAUUCUGCCAAUUCCGCAGGACUUGGCGCCAAGAGCCUUGUCAGAACCAUCAGAACAUUGGUGCAGCCACCAGAUAAUGUGGCUGUGAGUGAGUUAACGCAGAGCACGGCUCGCGUAACAUGGAACACCGUCUCAGGUGUCCUGCUUUACCAGCUUUCAGUGAUGGCCAAUAACAAGCCGGGAUUUCCCCCGGUUCUUAAGAACGUCACUGGUACCGCUGUGAAUAUCUUAAACCUGGAGCCGUGUACAACAUACACAAUAGGGGUUGCAUCUAUCAACAUGUUCCUUGAACCAGGAGAGUUCAAUAAUGUCACCUACACAACUUCCAGUAAGUCAAGAAGAAAUAGAACAUUUCAGAGUGAAACCUUUGAAUGAAAUCAUAAAGCAGUAGAUUUAUGCCUUGAUGUGUUUCGGAUGCUUCUAGACUUGCAUAACCAAGACUUCCUUUAAAAAAAAAAGGCCAGAUUCUAGUCCAGAAUAAAUACUAAGCAUAAACCA